rnacentral:rRNA from 1 species
GAUGAACGCUGGCGGCGUGCCUAAUACAUGCAAGUCGAGCGAACAGACGAGGAGCUUGCUCCUCUGACGUUAGCGGCGGACGGGUGAGUAACACGUGGAUAACCUACCUAUAAGACUGGGAUAACUUCGGGAAACCGGAGCUAAUACCGGAUAACAUGUUGAACCGCAUGGUUCAACAGUGAAAGACGGUCUUGCUUUCACUUAUAGAUGUAUCCGCGCCGCAUUAGCUAGUUGGUAAGGUAACGGCUUACCAAGGCAACGAUGCGUAGCCGACCUGAGAGGGUGAUCGGCCACACUGGAACUGAGACACGGUCCAGACUCCUACGGGAGGCAGCAGUAGGGAAUCUUCCGCAAUGGGCGAAAGCCUGACGGAGCAACGCCGCGUGAGUGAAGAAGGUCUUCGGAUCGUAAAACUCUGUUAUUAGGGAAGAACAAAUGUGUAAGUAACUAUGCACGUCUUGACGGUAACUAAUCAGAAAGCCACGGCUAACUACGUG